UACGUAGGGGGCAAGCGUUGUCCGGAAUCAUUGGGCGUAAAGAGCGCGUAGGCGGUCCGGUAAGUCCGCUCUGAAAGUCCGGGGCUCAACCCCGGGAGGCGGGCGGAUACUGUCGGGCUAGAGUCCGGAAGAGGCGAGCGGAAUUCCUGGUGUAGCGGUGAAAUGCGCAGAUAUCAGGAGGAACACCAAUGGCGGAGGCAGCUCGCUGGGACGGUACUGACGCUGAGGCGCGAAAGCGUGGGGAGCAAACAGG
rnacentral:rRNA from 1 species